rnacentral:rRNA from 1 species
AAACUCCUACGGGGGGCAGCAGUGGGGGAUAUUGCACAAUGGGGGAAACCCUGAUGCAGCGACGCCGCGUGAGUGAAGAAGUAUUUCGGUACGUAAAGCUCUAUCAGCAGGGAAGAAUAAUGACGGUACCUGACUAAGAAGCCCCGGCUAACUACGUGCCAGCAGCCGCGGUAAUACGUAGGGGGCAAGCGUUAUCCGGAUUUACUGGGUGUAAAGGGAGCGUAGACGGCUGCGCAAGUCUGAGGUGAAAUGCCGGGGCACAACCCCGGAACUGCUUUGGAAACUGUACAGCUAGCGU